CCUACGGGAGGCAGCAGUGAGGAAUAUUGGUCAAUGGGCGAGAGCCUGAACCAGCCAAGUCGCGUGAGGGAGUACUGCCCUAUGGGUUGUAAACCUCUUUUGUCGGGGAGCAAAAGCCGGACGUGUCCGGCUGUGAGAGUACCCGAAGAAAAAGCAUCGGCUAACUGCGUGCCAGCAGCCGCGGUAAUACGGGGGAUGCGGGCGUUAUCCGGAUUUAUUGGGGUUAAAGGGUGCGCAGGCGGAUUUUUAAGUCAGCGGUCAAAUCGUGGGGCUCAACCCCAUCCAGCCGUUGAAACUGGGGAUCUAGAGUGUGCGAGAGGUAUGCGGAAUGCGUGGUGUAGCGGUGAAAUGCAUAGAUAUCACGCAGAACCCCGAUUGCGAAGGCAGCAUACCGGUGCACAACUGACGCUCAGGCACGAAAGCGUGGGUAUCGAACAGGAUUAGAUACCCGGGUAGUC
rnacentral:rRNA from 1 species